GGACGAACGCUGGCGGCGUGCCUAACACAUGCAAGUCGAGCGGGGACAGCGGAGUAGCAAUACGAAGCUGUCUAGCGGCGGACGGGUGAGUAACGCGUGAGCAACCUGUCCCAGUCAGGGGGAUAACGAGCCGAAAGGCUCCCUAAUACCGCAUGAGACCACAGCGCCACAUGGCGCAGGGGUCAAAAGGAGAAAUCCGGACUGGGGUGGGCUCGCGUCUGAUUAGCUAGUUGGUGAGGUAAAGGCCCACCAAGGCGACGAUCAGUAGCCGACCUGAGAGGGUGAUCGGCCACAUUGGAACUGAGACACGGUCCAAACUCCUACGGGAGGCAGCAGUGGGGAAUAUUGGGCAAUGGGGGGAAACCCUGACCCAGCAACGCCGCGUGAAGGAAGAAGGUUUUCGGAUCGUAAACUUCUAUCCUUGGUGAAGAUAAUGACGGUAGCCAAGAAGGAAGCCCCGGCUAACUACGUGCCAGCCGCCGC
rnacentral:rRNA from 1 species